rnacentral:rRNA from 1 species
UACGUAGGGGGCAAGCGUUGUCCGGAAUCAUUGGGCGUAAAGAGCUUGUGGGCGGCCCGGUAAGUCCGCUGUGAAAGUCCAGGGCUCAACCCUGGGAUGCCGGUGGAUACUGUCGGGCUCGAGUCCGGAAGAGGAGUGUGGAAUUCCUGGUGUAGCGGUGAAAUGCGCAGAUAUCAGGAGGAACACCAAUGGCGAAGGCAGCACUCUGGGACGUGACUGACGCUGAGACGCGAAAGCGUGGGGAGCAAACAGG